UCCCUGGUGGUCCAGUGGUUAAGGCUCUGUGCUCCUAAUGCAGGGGCCCAGGUUCAAUCCCUGGUCGGGGAA